UUCGUUCUUCUUCUCCGUCUCCUUUGUUCUUUUUCUCACCUCAUUGAAAUUUUUUUGUCGCACAUUCCAUUCUUCUCCACCUCCUCCGAUUCCGACUUCACGACAUCACACUCACUUCGAACCGUCGUAGCCCAGAAAGUUGACUGGUUUAGUUGCUUAAUACUUCUCCCUCCGAGUCGUCUCUUGCUCCUUCUCUCUCGCCUCCAUAUGUGCGAUUCUGAAUUUGAUUCAUAUAUCUAAGAGUUCUAUUCAAAGCAUAAUAAAAAGAUUCAUGUGAAAGAAGAGGAAAGGACAACUAUACAUGCCAAGAAGCUGAGCUUAAGAUGCUUAGGAAGAGUUUGAACUUCAAAUCCACCCCGAUGUCUACCUAAACCUCCUUAGGGUUUUGUGGAUUAUUCAAUUCUACUAAGGGCAUCUGGAAAUAUAAUAUGAGAAAGGGGAGGAGCUCUCCGCCAUGUACAAAUCGCAAAACUAGGAAAUCUCCUAGCCACCGCACAACCACGAGGAACCAUACUUGCUACUUCAGCACCUUCUCCAUCACCCUAAGAACUUUUUGCCUUCUCUUAUGAACAUGUUAGAUCUUUAGAAUGUUUCAUACUGUGUAAGGCUUUGAUUAACAACAUUAGGGGUUUGAUUAGCAACAUUUUGGUUCAUCAAAUUUAUAUAAUUUCAACAUUUCUUUUUA